rnacentral:rRNA from 1 species
UGAGGGAAUAUUUGGGGUCAAUGGGCGGAAGCCUGAACCAGCCAUGCCGCGUGAAGGAAUAAGGCCCUAUGGGUCGUAAACUUCUUUUGUGGUGGAGCAAUAAGACGUACGCGUACGUCGAUGAGAUUACAUCAUGAAUAAGCAUCGGCUAACUCCGUGCCAGCAGCCGCGGUAAUACGGAGGAUGCAAGCGUUAUCCGGAUUUAUUGGGUUUAAAGGGUGCGUAGGCUGUUUGACAAGUCAGUGGUGAAAGCCCGGGGCUUAACUCCGGAAUUGCCGUUGAUACUGUUGAGCUGGAAUACGGAUGCCGUGGGAGGAAUGAGUAGUGUAGCGGUGAAAUGCAUAGAUAUU